UACGAAGGGGGGCUAGCGUUGCUCGGAAUCACUGGGCGUAAAGGGCGCGUAGGUGGCGCUGCAAGUCGGUGGUGAAAGCUCGAUGCUUAACAUCGAGUCGGCCAUCGAAACUGCAGGGCUCGAGCACUGUAGGGGCAGAUGGAAUUCCGGGUGUAGCGGUGGAAUGCGUAGAGAUCCGGAAGAACACCGGUGGCGAAGGCGGCCUGCUGGGCAGUUGGCUGGACACUGAGGCGCGACAGCGUGGGGAGCAA
rnacentral:rRNA from 1 species